rnacentral:rRNA from 1 species
UACGUAGGGUGCGAGCGUUGUCCGGAAUUAUUGGGCGUAAAGAGCUCGUAGGCGGUGUGUCACGUCGGCCGUGAAAACCUGGGGCUCAACUCUGGGCGUGCGGUCGAUACGGGCAUCACUAGAGUUCGGUAGGGGAGACUGGAAUUCCUGGUGUAGCGGUGAAAUGCGCAGAUAUCAGGAGGAACACCGGUGGCGAAGGCGGGUCUCUGGGCCGAGUACUGA